CAAAAUUAGUUAUGCCUAAAGGUCC
rnacentral:siRNA from 1 species